UACGUAGGGGCCGAGCGUUGUCCGGAGUUACUGGGCGUAAAGCGCGCGCAGGCGGCCAUCUAAGCCCAGCGUGAAAGCCCCCGGCUCAACCGGGGAGGGUCGUUGGGGACUGGAUGGCUUGAAUUCGGGAGAGGGAUGCAGAAUUCCAGGUGUAGCGGUGAAAUGCGUAGAUAUCUGGAGGAAUACCGGUGGCGAAGGCGGCAUCCUGGACCGACAUUGACGCUGAGGAGCGAAAGCUAGGGGAGCAAACGGG
rnacentral:rRNA from 1 species